GACCCUUGAUAAUUUUAUUCACAUAACCUCGUUCCUCUAUUCUCAUUGAGUUCCUUUUAGUAUCACAGAUUGCUACCAAAAUAACAAAAAAUAGUUGAUGAAAACAAGCACGUGCAGAAAUCACUUUAAGGAGGAGCCAAAAGCUCAAAAAAUUCUAUAAGUGUUUUUUUUAUUGAAGUCAGCGGUGAUGGAUGAAGAAAAGGCAAAAUCUUUAGAACAUUUCCUCGUUGAGAUCUCUAAAAUGUCGCCAUCUUACAAAUAAUGUCAUCUGCACAGAUUCAAGAAAUUUGGCACCAUAUAUUCAAAACAAAACAUGCAUAAACAAAAUCAGUUAAUAAAAAAGCUAAAUGCACAAGCAAUUCUAGAAUAGCCAUUAGACAAUUCUAUACCUUUUAUAGUCACCAAACAAAUUAAACAGUGUAUGAAACUCAUGGAAGGGGAGGAAAAAUUCCCAAACCAGAAAAAUUUACCUAUUAGUCACAAAUAUAUACAUCAAGCUAGAGCAAACUCAAAAGCAAAAUUGAUAUUUUCAUAAAAGAAUAAUAAAAAAGGAGGUAAAAGGGCGAGUGAGCGAGAGGAAGCUGGUAUGCAUUGUGGAAAUACGAAUACGAAGGAAGAAGAGAAGUAAAUGAUUGUUAUGGUCCAUCUUGGUAUGGAAAAUACGGAUACGAAGGAAGAAGAGAAGUAAUAUUCGUAUUUGCACUGGGAAGUCCUCACAGGAGGUUAAAGAGCUUCCUUAUUAAUAAAAAAAUUGAAUCUUUAAAACAAAACACAUUAUGUUCAACACAUAGUUACAGACCCACAAAAAAAAAUGAACUAGUAAAAUAUGAAAAGGCAUAUGCAUCAAGUAAUCAGAAAAAACAUAAGUAUAUAUUAAGCAAAAAGGCAUAAGUUAAAGUAGAAGAACAAAAUAGAACUAGAGUCUAAGAAAGCUAGAGGUGUAAAACACAGAGAGUUCACCAUUAAGACAAUGGAUUUAGUUAUUUAUGCAAAGGUUGCGAAAAUUGAAUCUUUAAGACAAGAAACGAAUUUAAAACAUCAGGAAAUGAAAUAAAAUACCUAAGGAUUAGCAAAUGGAUCAAUACAUGUUAUUGUUAACAUAAGAAGUGGUAACAUUCACCAAUAAGGGAAUAAGAUAAAUGCCAAGUUUAUGGUACAAUUCUAAAUGUUCAGGGAAUUUAAAAGAAUUACACAAAAUCUAAAUUUUACUUGACAGUGUAAACUAAGUAUGAUUUUUUCUAGCAAAGACAUUUCCUUCAAACACCUGGUGAACGUCAAAAAUCUUUUGAAAGAAAAACCACAUAUGCAUACACCAUUAAAUAUCGCUACAAAUCAAAAAUAAAAUUAGAAGAAUGAUCAUACCAAUUAAGAGUCUAGCAAUGGAUAUGUUGGAACAAGUGAUUAUGCCCUUAGUCUUCUAGUAUUUCUUUACUUUCCGAUCUGGAAGAAAAAUAUUGUAAGGAAGGUUCAGUACUUUCAAAAUACCAAUAAAACAAGAUAAUAGCAUAAGAGAAUAUAGAUAGAACAUUCAAUAUUCACAUGGUGAAUUCGGCAAUCACCAGAGACGAAGAAGUCCAACUAUUAUUUAUUUUGGCAGGUCUCACCCACAACUAUGAAAGUCAAUAAGUCAGCACAACUAUAAAGCAAAGAUUUUCAUCGAUUAAGAACUCAAAAGACAAUUUUGCUUUCAACUUACUUUCUAUAAGGCACAAAAUCUGCUAAAUCUCAAGGACAUAUUUUGUCUUUUACGUAAGUAGAAGGCCAGUUGACCUGUAAAUAUUGAGGUUUACAGGUUAUCUAUCAUUCUUGAAUCUAUAAGAUGACUACUUCUCAUAAGCAUUAUGUUUCAAAUAUAAGGGAGAAGAAUAAUUUUUUUAUGGCAAAAGGAAAGAACCUAUCAACAAAUAAUUUCUUUUUAACAAAUUAAUGUUUCAUUCAACUAUGUCCACUUGAAUGAAGGGUAAAUCAUAACCUAAGUAGUUCUUGAAAUCUAAAAACUUAGAAAGAAAUAAGGAUCCUCCAAGAAGAAUGAUUCAUGUCCUCUUCAAUUGAGACUAAGAUAUAAGUUCUACGUAUUUAAAGUGAAAAGUUAACAUUAACUCAGAAAUACAUAAACCAGGUAGCAUGACAUCGUUGUAAUUCUAGGUUGCUAUCAUCAGAAAAAUGAAGCAUAAAUAAUGAUAAUGAAGUGAAACUCUGCUAAAACAAUUCUCACUCAAGUGAUUUAAGUAGUUUCACUUGUACUUCCUUUAUUGAGACCAAAGCUAGGAAAACAAUGUGAAGCAUGAGAAAAGAUAAAUAAAUCAUCACAAUAUGAUAAUAUAUAAAAACAAAACACAUAACGAAAAAAGGACAGAAGAAAAGAAUGGCUAGAAAACUGGGAAGUCAUUUUGUUGGUGGCAUUCUUAAAGUACAAAAGAUUUGUUACCUAUAAAAUUGAAGUUCUACUUAAUAGUGAAGUUUUAAACCAUGUUUGAAACAAACACCGAUAUAGUAUUGGCAUUAUCAUCUCAAGUUCAAGCUCAUACAUGUGAGAAUUAAAUCAACUUAUCUGCCAAACUGAUAGAAAUCACAAACAACCUCUCAAUCGAAAGGCAAUAAAAAAUUAAACAUUGAAAGUAAAGUAUUGUGGAGUAAUCAAUGAAAAUAAAUUAAUUUAACCACACCACCGAGGCUAAUAAUAUUUUAUAGAAGUUAGAUAUACAAUUUGAAAUAUUAUAGAAUUGAAAGAAUAAUUUGUCUAAUUUUUUUUAUCCCAAAACAUAAAACUUAAAAGUUGUUUUCUUAAGUUUUGUGGUAUCAAUCAACAUCCCUCAUAUCAUUUUUCUAGUUCAAAUUUACUCUUCUCUUUCAAUUUGAAUUUCUUUUUUUUACUCCUCUCCUUGUUGAGUAUCAUUUAGACUUUUUGAUAUCGAGACACAAGGGGAAUGGUUUAAGCUGGAGGAAAAUGUAAACUACAUUUUUGUACAACUAUAGAAGACGUAAACUGCUUCAAACUAAUGCUAACAUAAUAUAUAUUUCUAUAUAUUUAGGAUGGUGUGUGUGCAGCCUUAUCCCUACUUGUGAGCACAAGUAGAGCCGUAGAGGGUCGAUUUUCGGAAGGCUCUCAUAUAUGCUGAAAGAACAAGUUACAACAAUAUCUCAAACAAUGAACUUGACGAGUGUCGAGUGUCAAGUGCCGAAUUGCUUGAAUGAUAUUAAAUAGAGAAUUAGGAAGCACAUAUAUUAUAUUAAUAUUGACAUUUGAAUAGAAAAAUAAUUACAGACACUUCUGCUCAAAAAAUCUUUGCAGCCGAAUGCCAAAUUGUUGAUUACUUCUUGCCAGAAGAAUUUUCUUUUAAAGAAGAUUACUUUUUGACUUUUUGUUUAGAUAUUGAAUCAACAAUAUAUUACAUAAGCACCAUUCUUGGAAGCUAAACUUGAAAUCUCUAGUAGCUUUGAUAAGCUACAUUCACGCAUAACAAAAAGUUUUGGAACUCUAAUCUUUAUCUAUGUAGAGAAAUCUGAAAAGAAUUGGGAGAAGAUUAAAGCAAAAAUUAAGAGAAACACUUACAAGAGAAUGCAAAAAACUGUCAAAACUGAGAAUUUUCAACAAUAAAGCUAAAUUUGGAAACACAAAUUUAAAAUUUAAACAUACCUAUUACGAUUGUGAAGAGGAGGCGAGAAAGUUUAGCAUUUCACAGGAGAAGGGAGCUGUAAGAUCGGGACUCCUCAGUAAUGGAAAAAGAAAGAUGCUUCUAGAGUUUUUAUUUUUUAACUGUAAUAAACCAGUAUAAACCAAUUACU
rnacentral:lncRNA from 1 species